rnacentral:rRNA from 1 species
UUGCUCUUCAACGAGGAAUGCCUAGUAAGCGCAUGUCAUCAGCAUGCGUUGAUUACGUCCCUGCCCUUUGUACACACCGCCCGUCGCUACUACCGAUUGAAUGGCUCAGUGAGGCCUUCGGACUGGCUCGGAGAGGUUGGCAACGACCACUCCGAGCCGGAAAGUUCGUCAAACUCGGUCAUUUAGAGGAAGUAAAAGUCGUAACAAGGUUUCCGUAGGUGAACCUGCGGAAGGAUCAUUACCUAGAGUUGUAGGCUUUGCCUGCUAUCUCUUACCCAUGUCUUUUAAGUACCUUACGUUUCCUCGGCGGGUCCGCCCGCCGAUUGGACAAUUUAAACCAUUUGCAGUUGCAAUCAGCGUCUGAAAAAACUUAAUAGUUACAACUUUUAACAACGGAUCUCUUGGUUCUGGCAUCGAUGAAGAACGCAGCGAAAUGCGAUAAGUAGUGUGAAUUGCAGAAUUCAGUGAAUCAUCGAAUCUUUGAACGCACAUUGCGCCCCUUGGUAUUCCAUGGGGCAUGCCUGUUCGAGCGUCAUUUGUACCUUCAAGCUCUGCUUGGUGUUGGGUGUUUGUCCCGCCUUUGUGCGCGGACUCGCCUUAAAGCAAUUGGCAGCCGGCGUAUAGAUUUCGGAGCGCAGCACAAUCCGCGCUUUGUACUCAUUACGACGACAUCCAUCAAGACAUUUUUUAACUCUUGACCUCGGAUCAGGUAGGGAUACCCGCUGAACUUAAGCAUAUCAAUAAGCGGAGGA